CGCCCUCCCUCUGCACCAAACAAUCAAUAAUGCCCCAUGUUGAUGCAGGAAUCAAAAUAGGACAGUGGGCUACCAAGUGGCCCCCACGCACGCCCGGGUACAAAAAUAGCUGCAUGCGUGGUUCUUGACAAAACUAAGAACAGACAGGAUGACGAGGU